GAUGAACGCUGGCGGCGUGCCCAAUACAUGCCAGUCGAGCGAACAGACGAGGAGCUUGCUCCUCUGACGUUAGCGGCGGACGGGUGAGUAACACGUGGAUAACCUACCUAUAAGACUGGGAUAACUUCGGGAAACCGGAGCUAAUACCGGAUAAUAUAUUGAACCGCAUGGUUCAAUAGUGAAAGACGGUUUUGCUGUCACUUAUAGAUGGAUCCGCGCCGCAUUAGCUAGUUGGUAAGGUAACGGCUUACCAAGGCAACGAUGCGUAGCCGACCUGAGAGGGUGAUCCGCCACACUGGAACUGAGACACGGUCCCGACUCCUACGGGAGGCAGCAGUAGGGAAUCUUCCGCAAUGGGCGAAAGCCUGACGGAGCAACGCCGCGUGAGUGAUGAAGGUCUUCGGAUCGUAAAACUCUGUUAUUAGGGAAGAACAAAUGUGUAAGUAACUAUGCACGUCUUGACGGUACCUAAUCAGAAAGCCACGGCUAACUACGUG
rnacentral:rRNA from 1 species